rnacentral:lncRNA from 1 species
CCACAGGGAGCCUGGUUCUUAUUUCUGGGAGGUAGCAAAUCCCCAGGGAGGAAUGGCUAUUGGCUUCAUCUAAGAUGGGUGAUUAUAAGGAGACUCACAAAAGAUGCCCAAAUCUCCAAUGUGGCACAAAGAUAACAGAAUUGCUGGGCCUAAAGGGACCAUGUGGGCAGGGCCAAUGGUUGUCUCAGUGGUAUGAUGUGUCUGAUAGGAGCACAUUGCUGCUCACACCCAUCUUGGCACUGGGGGAGAUUCUGGUGCUGUGUGGCACCGCCCAUGCUAGUGAAGCAGGGAACUCAGUUUCAAGUCACAGCAGGAUAGCCUUGGAGUCAGUUAAGUCACUUGCCCACAUUUACACAGCUGUUAAUGCAUGGCAGAGCCUGUAUUCAAGACCACUUCUGUUGGCUUAACACCCCUCCCACCCCAAUUAUGCCGCAGGAUUGCUGAAAUUCAGUGCUUUAAUACCUCCAUCAGCUCCCUGAGGAGUGACUGAUACCAGAGGCAUGGGUGCGGACCAGGUACUCUUUCAGGUGACCCCUCCUGAGGCAGCUGGGGGGAGGGUGGUUGGUGAAGGAGCUCAGGCUGGCACAGCCCCAGACUCCCUAAGACUCCUGAGCCAUGUGAUGAUGCCCAGCCUUAGGCUCCUCACCUGUGAAAUGGAGCCACAACACCUACAUCACAGGGUUCCUGCACAAAAGAAGAUAAUGGAGAUGAAGUAUACGAUAAUAAAUAUCUGGGUUUAGGAAUAAUGUCAGGAAGGACAAUAACAACUAGCCCUUUCAGAGGUAAUAACCACGCCCUUCAAGGGCAGUUACAGUCCUGGAGGCUGAGCUCUCCAGCAUCUAUCUCAGCCCCUGUCCCCCUUCCUGGAAUAUCUCACUCCACCCUCCCCUCCCCUUGCAAACUCCUAUUGAUCCGGUCUCCAUAUAAAAUGUCAUCACUUGUUUAUUUAUUUAUUUUUUUAUGUAUUAAAAAAAAUUUUUUUUGUGUCUUUUUGCCUUUUCUAGGGUCGCUUCCCGUGGCAUAUAGAUGUUCCCAGGCUAGGGGUCAAAUCGGACCUGUAGCUGCCAGCCUACGCCAGAGCCAUAGCAAGGCGGGAUCUGCCACGUCUGCAACCUAUACCACAGCUCACGGCAACGCCGGAUCCUUAACCCACUGAGCAAGGCCAGGGAUCGAACCAGAAGCCUCAUGGUUCCUAGUUGGAUUCGUUAACCACUGCGCCACGACGGGAACUCCUAAAAUGUCACCACUUCUGAAGGCCCUUCCUAGACCAGGCCCCACGCAAAUGUCUGGGUGACACACCCCUUCUCAGGGCAGCCCCUACAUGUAUGUUGCUCUGUUAGUACUGAAAUGUCCCCCCUUCACCAGCCCAUCAGCCUACUCCUCCUCCCCUUCAGCCUCCCCUUUUCAACUAAAUUAGCAACCUCCUGGAGAACAGGGGCAGUCUUAUUUAUCGUUGUUAUUUCUAAGGUCUAGAACAAGGCCUCACAAGUGUCAUAAGAGACACUCAAUGUUUCAAAAUCUGUUAAAUGAAAGAAGGUACAAAUAUGCCUGCUAGGUCAUCAAAAAAAGACUCAUUUAUGGCCCCAAGAGUUUCAGUGCCAAAUAUGUCUUACUAUAAUCAGAUUUUCUGAAAAUUAGUAAUCCAGAUAUAGUUUAAACGUAGCAUAGCUAGUCCCUAACCACCCCUGAGCAGAACAUCAGUUCCUUCUCGAGGGACUUGAUAAUUCUUCAGCUUGACUAAGAAAGUUCUCGAGAGACAUUUGCUGAGUAAUUGGUCAACAUAAUGUACAUUCCCAUGACUAGUGUGGAGACAGAAUCAACUGCAAAAAUUCUUACUGCUCACCGCAAACUUGGGGGUGUUUUCUGUUUCGUCAGUUAUAGGGAUUGGGAGCAGUUUGUUUCCUCUUAAAAAAAAACAUCAAAAUCUAGUAUUUUAAGACUUGAUAAGAUGGUAAAGGUAAUCUAAAGUCUAGAUUCUAGACAGCCUGGCUUUCAAUUGUUUACAAUCUAAUGUUGGAAGACAGUAAACAGUGUAUCAUUCCUGUCUUAACCUUAGCUUUUGUUUAAGUCCACAGAUACGGGCUUCGUCUUUUGUACCUGAACUGGUCAAUGAGAAGUUAAUGGACUAAGAAGUCAGCCAAGCCCUAAACCAAACAACUGUCCUAAAUAUCGACUAGACUGUUCAGCUACAGACAUUUCACAGUGAAUGAUGGGGGGAAAUUCAGUCUUAUAGCAAACAGUACUAGAUUCAAAUGUCUCCCACAAUACCAUGGCAAGCAGCCGGGCCAUUAAAAUUAGAAAUUGCAAGGUGUUCCGUCGUGGCUUAGCGGUUAAUGAAUCUGACUAGCAUCCAUGAGGACACAGGUUCAAUCCCUGGCCUGGCUCAGUGGGUGAGGGAUCCUGUGUUGCUGUGGCUGUGAUGUAGGCCGGUGGCCACAGCUCUGAUUGAAGCCCCAGCCUGGGAAUCUCCCUAUGCUGAGGGUGUGACUCUAAAAAGAAAAAAAAAAUUGCCACUUAGGCUAAUGUACUUUGUUUGCCCGAUGCCCUCUGGAGCUAUUCUUCUCUGGCAGAGAUGAGAGACAUAUGUGAUAUCUUGGUUUUAUCUUAGGUUGGAGGUAAGAACAAUGAGGUCUGCUAUGAUGUUCUGGAUGGCUGGUCUCAGGACAGCUGUCACCUUUUACAACACCCAGUGGACUCUUGAGUACAAAUGAUGCAUUUCCUCCUAAGGCAAAAAAUGGACAGAAAGAUGCAGAGUAUUUUCCUGUCUGGCUUCCUCAGCCGUGUUGUACAUAAGAAGACAGUUUGGUGGGCCCAGGGCUGGGCAUCUGGAGCAAGCUGAGCCAAUAAGCUCCUUCCCUGGGAAUCUAGAACCAAGACUAAGAUUCCAUUUUCAGUGUGACUGGUUUAUAGACUGGACUUAUGAACCCAGUAUCUGGGACUAGAAAUUUCUGCCACAUGGCCAGUAGAACAAAAAAAGCCAAAAUGCAGUUAGAAAAAAGGAAAGGGAGGAUGAAAAAUGAGAGAGAAGUUCUGCCAACAUUCCCUGUUCUUUUCUGAGACUUGGCUACUUACUGAGAUACCAUGAGAAUUUUCUGUAUCCUCAUGGUAAAUCCCCCUUUUUGCUUAAGUUGGCAUAAACUGGAUUCUAGUGCCAAAUUGUUAAUUACCAAUUAUAUUUAUUCUACUACAAAUUUGGCUUAAUCUUUUAGUCAAAAGAUUCAAAACUAAUACACAGCCAAUAUUGUGGCAAGUAUAAAUUGCAAUAGGAAUUUGAGCACAUACAAUUCAAUGCUAGGACAUUAUCAAGAAAAUCUUGCGCAGUGGAUUCAGGUCAAUGAUUUCUUGGUAAAUGUUUAACAGCAGGCUUUAUAUGUGGGGGGAUGGGAAGGGUCAGCCUUAAUUUGUAGCAUUUUCCAAUUUCCAAAGUGUAACUACUCCAUUCAUGGCCAAUUUGAAGCUAUCAAUGUUAAGACAGCAUACAGAGUUAGAAGAAGAAUACUACCAAGAAGAGAGGGAAGGGGGCAGGGGAUGACUUUUAAAAGAAUGACGUAGUUGUUGAGGAUACGACAUAAACUAGUUAGAACCUACUAGGCCCAAGAUGGUAGAAGAUUCAACUUGCAGUGGACCUUGAGCCUUAUUAUAUAUUCACUGUAAUAUAUUUGCAUAUGCUAAAUGACACACCCACAGGGGCCAUGAAAGCUGGAGACCAACCAUAAAUGGGCAAAAAGUGGACGGUGGCCCAAUUCCUGGAAAUCUCUACCCCUUCCCUGGAGAAGGAAUGGUCCUCCUGCUCAUUAGGCCAUAAAAUUUCCCAGCCCAUAAAAACUAACCACUCCCAUAUCCUGGGGCCUCUGCCUCCUGAGAUGGUCUACACUGCCUGUGGAGUGUGUCUCUCUCAAUAUAUCUACUUCUUACCUAUUACUUUGCCUCUUGUUCAACUCCUUCUGCACCAAGACAUAAAGAACCCCAAGCUUCAUUAAGUCCUAAGAUGAGUUGUGCAGUUUCAGUUAGAAGAUUGUGGGUUCGAGUCCCAUCUGAAGUGUGCAGUUUCACUAUUAUACAGUGGUUCAAUGAAACAUGUACAAAAGAUGUAAAUUACCUCCAGAGUAUCAGUAACAGUAACAUGUAGUAAAAUAAUUAGGAAGUGAUGAGUAUUAAAUAAGCAUUUCUCGCUUCUGUUUUAAAUAGAAUGUAUUUAAUAUAUUCCAAUUUAAGCAACUUAAUUUUAAUAAUGGCUGUUUAAUAACUGAAAUUCCUGCAAAUUUGACCAUCUGUUUUUGCAAACAGGUACAAGCUGGCUCUAGCACACACAGAUUAAGAUGAAUGUUGGCCAAAAUCACAUACAGGUUGGAGUUCCCGUUGUGGCUUAGUAGUAAACGAAUCUGACUAGGAACCAUGAGGUUGCUGGUUCAAUCCCUUGCUUCCCUCAGUGGGUUAAGGAUCUGGCGUUGCUGUGAGCUGUGGUGUAGGUCGAAGACGCAGCUCGAAUCUGGCAUUGCUGUGGCUGUGGCAUAGGCUGGUGACUACAGCUCCGAUUAGACCCCUAGCCUAGGAAACUCCAUAUGCCACAGCCCUAGAAAAGACCAAAAAAAAAAAAAAAAAAUCACAUACAGGUUUACUCCUGGGUUAAUAUAGUAGCUAAUACAGAAACUUUCUCAUCCCCCCUGGAAGUGAUUCUCAAUUUCACCCAUCCUUCUUUCAAAAGAAGUGAUGCCCCACCCUUUCCAAGCUGUCACCCCCUACCUCCAAGUUCCAGCUCCCAGCCAUCUCCUAAGGACAACAGGUCAUUAAUUGCAGUCAGCCCAUCCGAAACCAAACUCAUUAUUUUCUGUCUGAACUUGCUCUUCCACCCCCCCUUCGCCUAUUUUACACCCUAACCACAAAGAACUAUUUGUUCCCUAUCUCAUUUAAUACAUCUCAAUUCACUCUAUUUAUUAAGGUGGAACUCUGAGUACAGUGACUCCCAAACUUGGCUACAUUCGAAGGUACGUGCACCUGAGU